GACGAACGUUGGCGGCGUGCUUAACACAUGCAAGUCGAACGAUGAAGCCGGAGCUUGCUCUGGUGAAUUAGUGGCGAACGGGUGAGUAACACGUGAGUAACCUGCCCUUGACUCUGGGAUAACUGCGGGAAACUGUAGCUAAUACCGGAUACGACCCUCGGAGGCAUCUCCUGGGGGUGGAAAGAAUUUCGGUCAAGGAUGGACUCGCGGCCUAUCAGCUAGUGGGUGAGGUAAAGGCUCACCAAGGCGACGACGGGUAGCCGGCCUGAGAGGGUGACCGGCCACACUGGGACUGAGACACGGCCAAGACUCCUACGGGAGGCAGCAGUGGGGAAUAUUGCUCAAUGGGCGCAAGCCUGAUGCAGCAACGCCGCGUGAGGGAUGACGGCCUUCGGGUUGUAAACCUCCUUUAGUAGGGAAGAAGCGAAAGUGACGGUACCUGCAGAAAAAGCACCGGCUAACUACGUGCCAGCAGCCGCCGUAA
rnacentral:rRNA from 1 species